rnacentral:rRNA from 1 species
UACCAUGGUUUUAACGGGUAACGGGGAAUUAGGGUUCGAUUCCGGAGAGGGAGCCUGAGAAACGGCUACCACAUCCAAGGAAGGCAGCAGGCGCGCAAAUUACCCAAUCCCGACACGGGGAGGUAGUGACAAUAAAUAACAAUAUGGGGCUCUUACGAGUCUUGUAAUUGGAAUGAGUACAAUUUAAAUCUCUUAACGAGGAACAAUUGGAGGGCAAGUCUGGUGCCAGCAGCCGCGGUAAUUCCAGCUCCAAUAGCGUAUAUUAAAGUUGUUGCAGUUAAAAAGCUCGUAGUUGAAUUUCGGGAUUUAUCCGUCGGUCGGGCUUUUGGGUCUGUACUGGCGUGAUGGAUUCCUACCUUCUGAAUAACUGGCAUGUCAUUAAUUUGGUGCGCCGGGGAAGCAGGACUGCUACCUUGAAAAAAUUAGAGUGCUUAAAGCAGGCUUAUGCCUGAAUACAUUAGCAUGGAAUAAUGAAAUAGGACGGCAUGGUUCUAUUUUGUUGGUUUCUAGGAUCACCGUAAUGAUUAAUAGGGAUAGUUGGGGGCAUUAGUAUUCAAUUGUCAGAGGUGAAAUUCUUGGAUUUAUUGAAGACUAACUUCUGCGAAAGCAUUUGCCAAGGAUGUUUUCAUUAAUCAAGAACGAAAGUUAGGGGAUCGAAGACGAUCAGAUACCGUCGUAGUCUUAACCAUAAACUAUGCCGACUAGGGAUCGGACGAUGUUAAUUUUUUAAUGACUCGUUCGGCGCCUUACGGGAAACCAAAGUGUUU